UACGUAGGGGGCUAGCGUUGUCCGGAAUCAUUGGGCGUAAAGAGCGUGUAGGCGGUCCGGUAAGUCCGCUGUGAAAGUCGGGGGCUCAACCCUCGAAUGCCGGUGGAUACUGUCGGGCUAGAGUACGGAAGAGGCGAGUGGAAUUCCCGGUGUAGCGGUGAAAUGCGCAGAUAUCGGGAGGAACACCAAUGGCGAAGGCAGCUCGCUGGGACGGUACUGACGCUGAGACGCGAAAGCGUGGGGAGCAACAGG
rnacentral:rRNA from 1 species